AACAGAGAGAGAGGAAGACACAGAAUCGGAAGCAGGCUCCAGGCUCUGAGCUGUCAGCACAGAGCCUGAUGUGGGACUAGAAUCCAUGAACCUCGAGAUCAUGACCUGAGCCAAAGUCGGACACUUAACAGCCCGAGCCACCCAGGUACCCCCAAAUAAAUAAACAUUAAAAAAAACAAUAAAGUACUGAGGAACCUGGGUGGCUCGGUCGGUUAAGCGUCCCACUCUUGAUUUCAGCUCAGGUCACGAUCUCGUGGUUUGUGGGUUUGAACCCCACGUCGGGCUCUGCUGACCGUGUGGAACCUGUUUGGCAUUCUUUUUCUCCCUCUCUCUCUGUUCCUCCUCUGCCUGUGCUCUCUCUCUUUCUCUCUCUCUCUCUGUCUUAAAAUACAUAAAUAAACUUAAAACAAUAAUAAUAAAGUGCUGGUGCUGUUUGGGGAAGUAGGGACAUGUGAGAAGAAAGUGUCCCGCUUACUCAAAAGCAGAUAACGAAGGACGGCUACGACCUCAAGGUUUUGUAAGGGAGCGUCUUGCAUAGGUUCCUGCUUACAGCCGAGCAGACAUCGCCAGCAAAGAGUGGAGGAUCAAAGAAUGUCACAUACACUCUGAAAACAGGGAAUGUCUUCCAGUGUUAACGGGGGCUGGGGCUGUCCCAUGGCCUGUGGACAUCGUUUUGCUGAAAGGGACCUAAAUCCGAGGCGUCCUCGCUCAGGGGCCCUGGAGCCCUAUGUCCCCGUGUCCGCUCGGAGGUAGCCCCAUUGCACGCAGGAAAGGGAUACAUCCCUGCGUUUUUCUGCCGUCACAGGGGCAGGCCUGGCCGGGCAGCCCACUCCGUCUCUGGGUCUGACCAGAAGCGCUGGCCCCCGACCCCCUCACUCCUUCUCUAUCCCUGCAGAUCAGCUCCCACGGGGGGAAGCGGAGUCAAGAAAUGCGGAGGGGAGGCCGGGUUUUGAGCCAGCACCCCAGGAGGACGGAAAAGAAACACUGGUGCCCGGCCCUUACUGAAGCUAUUUGUUUUCUUUAUUUCAGCCAACGGUGCUGUCCCACAUGGUCUCUGAACCUUUGAGCAAACGGAAUCAUCUGGAAAGCGUGACGGGUAAGAACGCUGAGAUGGGAGAGAGAAGCCGCCGGCCUUCAGGCACAGGAACAGCCAGGCGUCCUCUCAGGACCGGUCUCCGCUGCGUCCUUCCACCUCGCAGGUUCAUUUACGAGAGAAGUACGACUAUUUCCGGAUGAAAAGCGAGGUCAAAAUGCCUUGCCCAGGGCCAGGACCCAAGCCCAGGUCCCGACACAGCCAGCUUCCAGCCUCGGAGCUGCACAGACAUGGACAUUGCCUCAAAGACAUCAAGAACCUCCCGAUUUGACUUGGAAAACGAUAAAACAAAAUAGUAAAAACACCGCAUUUCCCUGCUCUGCACGUGAAGCCCUGGAAAGGCAUUUCUCCUGCUCUGGGAUGCUCCGCCAGACCCGACCUACCUGUGCUCAGCUUGACCUUCUCUCCUGGAUGUUUGGGAAAGCAGAGAAAGUCCUAUGACCCUGACCUUUGGUUUUCUUUCUGGACUACACAUUCGGGGCUUUCUAACAAAGUAAAUUGAGAUAAAACCGUCAUCAACUGCGGAAAGGAAGGCUAGGCAGAAAAUAAGUUAUACAUAUGUAUUAAAUAUUAUUUAAUUUGUUAAAGACCAAAUGGGCUGCACAAAAGAUUGCAAGCCAAGGUGAUCUGCGCAAGGUUUCUGCUCCAGCUGUGCACGCCUUUCACCCCUUGGAUUUUUGCUUUUGAUUUGCUGAAUUCCCCAAAGUUAGAAAACAGGACAUACACACACACCCACACACACACAACUUUUUGCACCUCCUUGGGAGUCUAGCUUUUGAUCCGUACCCCUCCCCCCAAAACAUUAGAAGGCCCGAUGUGUAUGGUUUUUCGCACUUUGGGGAAAAAAAGGGAACGGACCAUUGUUACCAGCCUUCAGAAUUCUCUUUAAUGCUAAUAAUUAAGCUCGAAUUCCUUACGAGGUAACACCAUGCUCCAGCAUUGGUUCUUGGGAAACAUUUGGAGAGCUCAUCCCUGGACUUGUACAUAACCUUCCCAGAGACCUGCUGGUUGGGGCUGACAGGUUUGUUUUUCUUUCCAUUGAGGUCACGACCAGUAGGUAGAUUUCAAAUGAGGAGAAAUUUGCAAACCCAGGCUUUUAUGUUGUGAACGGUGCUGUGUAAAAUGUUACCAUGUCAACAUAUUUUAAGAAGCAUUCGUUACUUAUUAAGCCUAGGAGAGCUUACGCAAUACUCCUUUACAUUUGUUUGUGGGUUUUAUUGUUUUUAAUGGGGAGUACUUGAAGCAAGCUACCUGUCACUCAGGACUUAGCCAAGGCUUGUGUGUGUGGCAGCUGGAUAGAUUGAAGCCUGAGAAUUCGUAGGCACGUCAUAAGCUGUCUUGAAAAUGAGGAUCGUAGUUUCUUUAUUGGAUUAACUCUGCGGGGUAAAAUAACAUUAGAGAAUACUACUUAAGCUAAUAUAAAAUUACCCCAAAAAUAAUUAUUCUGAGAAUAAAUUAUUCUGGCCAAUAGUCCUCAGCAAGGCGAAAGCACAGUCCCUGUCGCUUCUGCACCUCACAAUACCGAAUCUAGGACAGUGCGGCACCUGACGGACGCUGUCCCCCAUGGUGGUCCCCUGGCCACCCCUUUCUGUACCCCCAGGAAAGUAAAUUCCCUACAUUUGGGCAGAAUGGAAUCAGUAUUUGCCAAAUACAUAUUUUAUACAAUCCCCGUUA